AGGAAUCCUUCAAGAAUUAAAAUGAGGCUAUGAGGAAAAGUAUUAAUAGUUUCAUUCCAGAAGGCCCAGGUGAAACACUCAGUCAAGGUUGUGGCAAAAAAUCCAACAUUGCUGGAGCUGAGCAUUCUGGAGGACAGAAAUGGUGGAGUUAAAUGUAAGUAAGGAAGAUGUUGUUGAUGUGGAUUCAUGCAGGAGCUACAGUGAGGACUGCAGUCUGCUGGGACACAUAAUCACAUGUGUUAUUUACUGCCUUUGUUUGAAAUCUUUAAUUUAAAGUAGAUGUUAUC